rnacentral:rRNA from 1 species
UACAGAGGGGGCCAGCGUUAUUCGGAAUUACUGGGCGUAAAGCGUGCGCAGGCGGUUCGCUAAGACCGAUGUGAAAUCCCCGGGCUUAACCUGGGAACUGCAUUGGUGACUGGCGGGCUAGAGUAUGGCAGAGGGGGGUAGAAUUCCACGUGUAGCAGUGAAAUGCGUAGAGAUGUGGAGGAAUACCGAUGGCGAAGGCAGCCCCCUGGGCCAAUACUGACGCUCAUGCACGAAAGCGUGGGGAGCAAACAGG